rnacentral:rRNA from 1 species
GAUGAACGCUGGCGGCGUGCCUAAUACAUGCAAGUCGAGCGAAAGGACGCGACGUUUGUUUCUUUGAUGUUAGCGGCGCACGGGUGAGUCACAUGUGUAUAACCUACUUAUCAUACUGGGAUCACUUCGGAACAGCGGCGAUAAUCCCGGAUGAUAUUUUGAAGCGCAUGGUUGAAAAGUGAAAUACGGUCUUGCUGUCACUUCUCGCUGCAUCUCAGCUGCAUGAGCUAGUUGGUACGGUAACGGCUUAUCACGGCAACGAUGCAUAGCCGACCUGUGAGAGUGGUCGGCCACACGGGAGCUGAGACGCGCACCUUACUCCUGCGGGAGGCAGCAGUAGGGAACCUUCCGCAGUGGGGGAAAGCCUGACGGAGCAACGCGGCGUGAGUGGUGAAGGUCUUCGGAUCGUAAAACUCUGUUAUGAGGGAAGAACAUAUGUGGAAGGAACUGUGGAGAUCGUGACGGUACCGGAUCAGAAAGCCACGGCUAACUACGUG